GCAAGUAGAAACUCUUGGAGCCCAAAGGGCUGGUCUUGAAGACAUGCUUAAAGAGAUGAAAAGAAAGGAUGAUAUAUUACCAAAGUUGAUGACAUCCACUGGCUCUCAUGAGGAUCUCUUUAAGAAGGAAAUAGCAAAAUAUGACCAUAUUUGUGAAGAAAUAGCUCAAAUAUUGAGGCACAGGAGCAACUGUUGAUGCAGAUCCAGGCUCAGAAUGAUGAAUUCUCGGCUCUCUUCAAUCUUGAAGACUAUAAAGAUUGAAGCUGCCAUAGCCAAGUUUCGAGAGAUAAAAGACAACAUUAAUGAAGGGUUAAAAUUCUAUGUUACUCUGCAGGUUAGAACUUAUCAACUAUGUGUUGAUUGAAUUCUAUUAUGCAAGAAAUUAUCUGAGUA